ensembl:lncRNA
ACACACACUGCUACAUCAUCCUCAAGGUAGCACACACACACUGCUACAUCAUCCUCAAGGUAGCACACACACACACUGCUACAUCAUCCUCAAGGUAACACACACACACACACUGCUACAUCAUCCUCAAGGUAACACACACACACACUGCUACAUCAUCCUCAAGGUAACACACACACACACACACACUGCUACAUCAUCCUCAAGUUAACACACACACACACUGCUACAUCAUCCUCAAGUUAACACACACACACACACACACACACACUGCUACAUCAUCCUCAAGGUAACACACACACACACACACACACACACACACACACACACACACUGCUACAUCAUCCUCAAGGUAACACACACACACACACACACACACUGCUACAUCAUCCUCAAGGUAACACACACACACACACACUGCUACAUCAUCCUCAAGUUAACACACACACACACUGCUACAUCAUCCUCAAGGUAACACACACACACACACACACUGCUACAUCAUCCUCAAGGUAAC